rnacentral:rRNA from 2 species
CAGCCGCCUAAGGUGGGAUAGAUGAUUGGGGUGAAGUCGUAACAAGGUAGCCGUAUCGGAAGGUGCGGCUGGAUCACCUCCUUU